UCAAAAGUUUUAGAAGGAAACCAAUUCAUUUUCCAAUAGAUUCGGUUCGAUUAACAAAAUGAAUCUCAAAAUAUUUACUUUGUUCGCCGUCGUAGUAUUGGCAUUAUUUUCAUUUGGAAGCUCAUCACCACAUCCUCAAGAAGAAGUAGCCCCUCUUAAGGAUGAAGAAAUCCCGAAGUGCUGGAACGUGUAUUGUGUCAUGGUAUGCAUGAGGCAAGGAUUUAUGGAUGGAAAGUGUAUUGACGACAGAUGUAUAUGUGCCGGAGCUGGAUUUAAGUAGGAAUGAACUGUUAUAUCCAAUAAAUAAAUUCGCUUUUUAAAAGUGGUUUCAUUCAAAUUUAAA